rnacentral:rRNA from 1 species
GGGGAAUAUUGGACAAUGGGCGAAAGCCUGAUCCAGCCAUGCCGCGUGUGUGAAGAAGGUCUUCGGAUUGUAAAGCACUUUAAGUUGGGAGGAAGGGCUGUAGGCUAAUAUCCUGCAGUUUUGACGUUACCAACAGAAUAAGCACCGGCUAACUUCGUGCCAGCAGCCGCGGUAAUACGAAGGGUGCAAGCGUUAAUCGGAAUUACUGGGCGUAAAGCGCGCGUAGGUGGUUUUGUAAGUUGGAUGUGAAAGCCCCGGGCUCAACCUGGGAACUGCAUCCAAAACUGCAUGACUAGAGUACGGUAGAGGGUGGUGGAAUUUCCUGUGUAGCGGUGAAAUGCGUAGAUAUAGGAAGGAACACCAGUGGCGAAGGCGACCACCUGGACUGAUACUGACACUGAGGUGCGAAAGCGUGGGGAGCAAAC